GUAAUAGCUCACUGGUCGAGUCGGCCUGCGCGGAAGAUGUAACGGGGCUAAACCAUGCACCGAAGCUGCGGCAGCGACACUAUGUGUUGUUGGGUAGGGGAGCGUUCUGUAAGCCGUUGAAGGUGUACUGUGAGGUAUGCUGGAGGUAUCAGAAGUGCGAAUGCUGACAUAAGUAACGAUAAUGCGGGUGAAAAACCCGCACGCCGGAAGACCAAGGGUUCCUGUCCAACGUUAAUCGGGGCAGGGUGAGUCGACC
rnacentral:rRNA from 1 species